rnacentral:ncRNA from 1 species
GGUUAAGCGAAUAAGCGUACACGGUGGAUGCCUAGGCAGUCAGAGGCGAUGAAGGACGUGCUAAUCUGCGAAAAGCGUCGGUGAGCUGAUAUGAAGCAUUAUUAGCCGACGAUGUCCGAAUGGGGAAACCCGGUGCACUUUGGUGCAUCAUCAUUUAGUGAAUACAUAGCUAAAUGAAGCGAACCGAGGGAACUGAAACAUCUCAGUACCUCGAGGAAAAGAAAUCAACCGAGAUUCCCCUAGUAGCGGCGAGCGAACGGGGAGCAGCCCAGAACCAACAUCAACGCUAGCAUUAAGAGAACAGUCUGGAAAGUCUGGCAGUAAAGGGUGAUAGCCCCGUAUCUGAAAAUGUUAGUGUUGUGAGUUCGACGAGUAGGGCGGGACACGUGUUAUCCUGUCUGAAUAUGGGGGGACCAUCCUCCAAGGCUAAAUACUCCUGACUGACCGAUAGUGAACCAGUACCGUGAGGGAAAGGCGAAAAGAACCCCGGCGAGGGGAGUGAAAUAGAACCUGAAACCGUGUACGUACAAGCAGUGGGAGCCUUGAUUUAUCAGGGUGACUGCGUA